rnacentral:rRNA from 1 species
GAUGAACGCUGGCGGCGUGCCUAAUACAUGCAAGUCGAACGCUUCACUUCGGUGAAGAGUGGCGAACGGGUGAGUAAUACAUAAGUAACCUGGCAUCUACAGGGGGAUAACUGAUGGAAACGUCAGCUAAGACCGCAUAGGUGUAGAGAUCGCAUGAACUCUAUAUGAAAAGUGCUACGGGACUGGUAGAUGAUGGACUUAUGGCGCAUUAGCUUGUUGGUAGGGUAACGGCCUACCAAGGCGACGAUGCGUAGCCGACCUGAGAGGGUGACCGGCCACACUGGGACUGGGACACGGCCCAGACUCCUACGGGAGGCAGCAGUAGGGAAUUUUCGGCAAUGGGGGAAACCCUGACCGAGCAACGCCGCGUGAAGGAAGAAGUAAUUCGUUAUGUAAACUUCUGUCAUAGAGGAAGAACGGUGGAUAUAGGGAAUGAUAUCCAAGUGACGGUACUCUAUAAGAAAGCCACGGCUAACUACGUG